rfam:Schistosoma margrebowiei strain Zambia genome assembly, scaffold: SMRZ_contig0010606
GUCCAGCUGACGAAUCCCAAAUAGGACGAAACGCGCGUCCUGGAU